GCGGAGAACAAUAUGGCGGAUGGCGAGGAGCCGGAGAAGAAAAGAAGGAGAAUAGAGGAGCUGCUGGCUGAGAAAAUGGCUGUUGAUGGUGGGUGUGGGGACACUGGAGACUGGGAAGGUCGCUGGAACCAUGUAAAGAAGUUCCUCGAGCGAUCUGGACCCUUCACACACCCUGAUUUCGAACCGAGCACUGAAUCUCUCCAGUUCUUGUUAGAUACAUGUAAAGUUCUAGUCAUUGGAGCUGGCGGCUUAGGAUGUGAGCUCCUGAAAAAUCUGGUAAUAUAUAUACAUAUAUAUAUAAAUAUUUUUUUCUUCUUUGUGAUAAGUAAACCUUACUUAUCUGUCAUACUAGGGAAUUUCUCGUGAUUCUUAACCUUUUCUCUUGAGCCUUUGUUAGAUAAGUUUAGCAUGCCAAAUUCCAAACAGUAAUUAAAAUGGUAGAACUUUGGAACUUUUUAAAUUCUAAAGCUCUCAGCUAUAAAGUUAUUGAUAAAAUUUCAUACUUCAGUUUUCUUCUCUGAUCUUUAACAAACAACUUUUGGUGCUUCCUCUGGCAAAACGCUCCUAACUUCAAUGAAGUAAAUAACAAAACUGGCAAUUCAUAUUUUAAUGUAUAGUUUCA
rnacentral:lncRNA from 1 species